UCCCAGUUCGGAUUGUAGGCUGCAACUCGCCUACAUGAAGUCGGAGUUGCUAGUAAUCGCGGAUCAGAAUGCCGCGGUGAAUGCGUUCCCGGGUCUUGUACACACCGCCCGUCACACCAUGGAAGUUGGGGGCGCCCGAAGUUGGUCGGGAAAUAGAUUACCUAAGGCGAAACCAAUGACUGGGUGAAGUCGUAACAAGGUACC
rnacentral:rRNA from 1 species